CAUUCUGGGAAGGAUCUGGGUGCACUGUAGACACUAAGCUUGUCCUUUUAUCCUGCCAGGCAAUGUGGUGAGUUCCCCAGCAAGUCCAUCAACCACAGGUGAGUGAUUCCCUCCUACACCCUCAGUAACCCAAGCAUGGGGAGUGGGCGUGCUGUGCUGCCUUCCCCAGGGCAUGGGGACAAGAAGGAGGUUUACCAGACAGGAGCUGUGCCAGCUGCAUGGACACGUCCUGCUCCCUGCCUCUCCCCAUCACACCCCGCUGCCCUCACACACUCUCUCCCCCAGCUCCCCAUGCCUGGAUCCCGCACACCCUCCCCACAGGCAUGGCGCUGGCAGUGGCGUCCGUUGGCCUCGUCCUCCUGUCUGCAGGAAGCUGGUUUGCCAUCAGGAAAGGUGAGGGAGUGGUGGAAGGCAGGUGGAAAGGCUGAGGCCGUGGGGAUUCUGCUGGAGGGCUGGUGCAGUGGCAGAGGAGUUGGGGGGAACCUGGGAGUGUACGGCUGGGGGAGACGGUGCCUGGGGCUGAUGGCUGUGGGCAGCCCAGCUAGGGAGGCUGCUGAGGGAGCUGGGGAGCUUCAGCCUUCAUCCCCCAGUCCCGAGACGGGAGCCAGGGCUGGGCAGCACCUUGGCCUGUGCACCUCAGCCCCUGUUCUUCUUGCAGGUGCGUGCAGAGGGAGAUGCCCAAGGCAGCAGCACGUUGACAGACCACAGAUGGAAACCACAGACAACGGCGAAGUCACAUACUCCACCAUUGCCCAUGUUCGACGGGACAGGGUGAGUCAUGGCACAGCUGUGCACAGCUCCUUUCUGCACUCCUGCAGCCUGAUGCACGCUCAUUGUGCAGGGCUCACAGUCAGCAGCUGAAGUAACAGGGUUUCAUUUCUCCCUAAAGCCUCCUCCCGUGCAGCUGAUGAGCGACAGCACAACGUAUGCCACGGUGACCCGCACCCAGACCUGAUAGCGUUGCCACAGGGCAAGGGCACAGGAGCCUUGCCCACGGCUACCUUUGCUCUCCUGCAGAGUUCUUGUGCAGCCAUAAAGUGGGGCUGGGGCGUGUACUAUGGGCUUCUCUGGGGUUUUCUGGGGAAGGGCUGUGUGUGUCUAGCAAAGAGGCUGAAGGACUCAUAUGUCUUUUAGUAAUUAAUUAAUACCUCUAAAAUAUAUCAGGUGUUCCAAGCAAUAUUGUGAGUGUAUCAAUGGUUUUUCCUCAUGUGAAACCAUAUCCCUGUGCUCACUGGAAAUUAUGUAUUCCUUAAGUGCUUGAUAAAGUCACAGGGCUGCUCUUCCAUGCACCCACACUGAUGCACAUUUGGACCUAUAGGGACCGGUAUCACUGCAGGGAUGUGCUUGCAUGUGUCUGCCAACUGGUGUGUGCAUUGCAGAUAUGGUUUUGUUUAGAAGAAAAAUAAACAUCUCUGGAUGUCCA
rnacentral:lncRNA from 1 species